AUCGCAUCCUGGGGCGGUAGUACGUCCCAAGGGUUGGGCUGUUCGCCCAUGAAAGCGGUACGCGAGCUGGGUUCAGAACGUCGUGAGACAGUUCGGUCCAUAUCCGGUGUAGGCGUUAGAAUAUUGAGAGGAGCCUUCUUUAGUACGAGAGGACCGAGAAGGACAUACCUCUGGUGUACCAGUUAUCGUGCCAACGGUAAACGCUGGGUAGCUAUGUAUGGAGUGGAUAACCGCUGAAAGCAUCUAAGCGGGAAGCCUCCUUCGAGACGAGAUCUCCCUUAGGACUUGAUCCUACUAAAGUGCCGUUCAAGACUAGGACGUUGAUAGGCUGGGUGUGUAAGUGCAGCGAUGCAUUGAGCUAACCAGUACUAAUUGCACGUGAGGCUUGA
rnacentral:rRNA from 1 species